CACACCGCCCGUCACACCAUGGGAGUUGUUGCACCAGAAGCAGGUAGCUUAACCUUCGGGAGGGCGCUUGCCACGGUGUGGCCGAUGACGUGGGGUG
rnacentral:rRNA from 1 species